rnacentral:lncRNA from 1 species
AAAAGAGAAGCAUAUUUUAGAUCUUUCAGUUCAGCUUCAGCAAGAAAAAGCUAAUGUACAAAAAACAUACCGCCAUUCUGAAGCAAUACAAACAGUACAAAUUCAUCUACAAUCUCAGGUAGAGAAAAAAGAGGAAGAAAAUAAUCAACUAAGAGCAAAAUUUCAGACGAUGGAGAAGAAUAUUGCUGAAUGGAAGAGACAAGUUGGUGAAUAUAAGCAGAACAUUUUGGCUGAAAAGAAAAGAAAAGUGGAACGGAGGAAUGCCCUGAAAAGAGCAGUUGUUGUUCAGAAACAAAGAGCUGAAAACAUGAAAGUGGUUGUUGAAAACCUCUUUUCAAAAAUUAAGGAAAAGGAAAUCCAGUUGUCUGAGGUAUUUUCAGCUUCUAAUAUCUGGAAAAGUCAUCACGAGAUCAUAAUAGAGGAAAAAAUCAAGUUAGAAGUCCAGGUUGAAACUCUAAAAAAG